UAGCUUCGGAAAUAACUUGAGAAAGUUUCUUUUGGUUUUGAAGUACUUCACUGUUUGAUUGGCUUCGCUGGAAAUUUUUUUUUGUUGCUGUGGUUCUUUGUAUAGUUCAUUUUAGGCGUUGUUUGGUUUCCGCUUCAGCUGUGUAUAAUAUGCUUUGAGAAUGGGUCGAAAUAGAGUAUAUGGAAGUUUGGAAGAGGCUCGUGCUGAGAAAAAUCGAAGGAGCCGCGAGCAACGUGCUGCUGCUCGGCGUGGGACAAAGAAUGAUGCGCCAUUAGGAGUGUGUACAUUAGCUGUCACAGCUUUUAAUAUACAUGACCGAAAUGCUGUGAAUCAGCCAAAUAUGGGUGUCGUUGAAUCUUCAUUAGGUUCGGGCUCAGUAUUGUCAUUUGCAGAGAACAAUGCAGAGCACUUUCGAGCUGUAUGUCU
rnacentral:lncRNA from 1 species